rnacentral:rRNA from 1 species
UACGGGGGGGGCAAGCGUUGUUCGGAAUUACUGGGCGUAAAGCGCGUGUAGGCGGCUUCGCAAGUCGGGCGUGAAAUCCCACGGCUCAACCGUGGAAGUGCACUCGAAACUGCAGAGCUAGAGUCCUGGAGAGGAAGGUGGAAUGCUUGGUGUAGAGGUGAAAUUCGUAGAUAUCAAGCGGAACACCGGUGGCGAAGGCGGCCUUCUGGACAGUGACUGACGCUGAGACGCGAAAGCGUGGGGAGCAAACAGG